UGGGGGAUAUUGCACAAUGGGCGAAAGCCUGAUGCAGCGACGCCGCGUGGGGGAUGAAGGCUUUCGGGUUGUAAACCUCUUUCGCUAUCGAACAAGGCCCGCCUAGGGUGGGUUGAGGGUAGGCGGAGAAGAAGCGCCGGCUAACUACGUGCCAGCAGCCGCGGUAAUACGUAGGGCGCGAGCGUUGUCCGGAAUUAUUGGGCGUAAAGGGCUUGUAGGCGGCGUGUUGCGCCUGCUGUGAAAACGCGGGGCUUAACUUCGCGCGUGCAGUGGGUACGGGCAGGCUUGAGUGUGGUAGGGGUGACUGGAAUUCCAGGUGUAGCGGUGGAAUGCGCAGAUAUCUGGAGGAACACCGAUGGCGAAGGCAGGUCACUGGGCCAUUACUGACGCUGAGGAGCGAAAGCAUGGGUAGCGAACAGG
rnacentral:rRNA from 1 species